UUUACAUUAUAUGCACUUAGGUGCCUAUUGUCAACAAAACAGACAUUUGAAGCAGUUUUACUCACCACCUGCGGUUCCGACUCAUGACCGGGAUCAUUACUGCUGUGACCGCUCCAUCUUUCAGUUUCAAACAAUCUGUAAAUCCAGCGUAGAACUGGGCCUUGUUUAUGAAACCAUAAGCGCCGAUCCUGAGGGCUCGAGCAGCCACGGAAAAACAUGAGAUAUUCUCCAUUCAUUUUAACUAAUAAAAAAGUGAUUGCAACUAUCAGUUUCUAUGGUUAUUUUAAUAACAAAUAUCGAGAGCGCAUCAAUGUAAUGCGUGAGAACAAAUCUCUCAGCUCCACUGAACACUGGGUUCUUUGGGAAGCAAGGUUAUCUUUCACUCACAACCAAAAACACUUCUUUGGUGACAUUGUUAAUUUCGUGCAGUCCUGUUACCUGUGCAGCUCUGCUGAUGACUUCCGUAAACGCGCGUUGAUGGGCGUGCUCUUGCGCUCUCGCUCAGGUCCACGUGUGCGCGCGCGCCCUUCCGGUAGAAGUGCCCGUACAAGGAAUUCCGCCCCCGUUUACGUCACUCAGGCCGAUACUCGAAAAAAAAAAAAAAAAAGUCCGAAUCCUGUGAGGAUUUGGAAGAGAAUUUUUGGAACAGAAAUACUCCGUUAUACGUCCAACUCAAGUUUAAAUCUGUCAUUUUGGUGAUCAAAGGUGAGUUUAAAGGGAUAAAAUACACUACAGGGGGAUUUUAAGUGUUUUCGUUUAGGCCUAGUUUUAGUGUUGGUUUGGAAAUGUCUUUACCUGACGUGCAGUUGUUGAACUUGGCUGUCUUCCCCUUGUCAUAGAGCGGUGACGUUCGUAACCAGUGUUUUACUUCAGACGAUUCUGUGCUUGAGUGAUUCAUUGCAAAGAAGAGUCAACAGAGUUGUUAAUUUUCGAAUCCGGCAUCGCUAGUUCUGACUCUAAACAGUCUUGCCAGACAACGCUGCUAAACUAUAGGGCCUACACAUUUUUCCUACGCUGAUGCCGCUUUGCGCGACUUAUGUUAUAUUUCAGGCCGGUAGAAAAAAAAUUAUAUUAUGCCGUUCGGUAUAAAUAAAUAUAGUUAUUAAGAAUAAAAUGAAUGGAAAUUAUAUUUUACAAUGAAAACAUGGCUGUUGUCUCGUCUCUAUGCAAGUCAGAAAAACGAACUCACACAUAUUUGGUAAGUUAUAUCUUUUUUUUUAAUGGCUGAGUUCCAUAUUUAUUUCAAGAAUACAGCUGUGAUCCGCACUCAGUUUUUUGCUUUAUUUUACAUUUUUCACAGAUUUCCUCAGUGUGUUGAGUUCUAUAUUUAUAAAAUUAAAUUAUCAGAAAAGAAAUCAAGCUUUUUAGUGCUUAAAAAAUAAGUUAUACAUUACAUUGACUCAAUCUCACCCUCAAAAAAAAAAAAAAAAAAAAAAAAAAAAAAGAUUUUGAACGAAUCGGUUGAAUCAAUGUUUCAAUAACUCGGUAGCCUAGCUUGUUCGCAUGGGUUCCAUCCGGGUGCUCCAGUUUCCCUUACAGUCUAUUGUUUCCCACACAAUCCAAAGACAUGUAUGUUCAUUCAGUAAAACUGACGGAUAAGCAUUAUUUGUAGCACAAACUUGUAGUCUGAAAUUACUUGUUUCAGUCCCUUUGAGUGACAGUUCGUCAAACCGGAAGAACCACCUAAAUGGAUAAAAUGUGGAUUGCCAGGUAAAGCUGGACAUUUUGUCAACUGUACUUCAUAAAUUAGUUUUUUUUUUUUUUUUUUUUUUACUCUUAAUGACGUGAUUUAAAAAAAAAUAGCUACACUGUCAACUUGCUAUUAUGAAAUAUUGUUAAACUUAUUUACGUUAUUUAGCGACGCUACUUCCCAGUACUCGUCUACACAAACGCCAAAAGACACACAUAACUUACAGAAAACUUUUUGCAUUUUUACAUUGUCAAAAAACAUUACUUAGUGUGAUUUAUAAGCUGUUUUCUUCAUGGGGACCAAAAAGGUCCCCACAAGGACAAGGAUUUCAGAUAUUGCCAUCUUUGUGGGAUCAUUUUGUCCCCAUAACGCAGGGUUUAUCAGGACCACGCACUUUCACAACUUUUAUUUUUUCCUUUGUGCUUUUCAGAUUAUUUGAUAUUGCUGUGUUGGGACACAUUUGUCUCGGUUUUUGAAGUUCAGCUGUUGACUGAGCCACACAAAUACUGAGGUGUGAGAAAUUCUGCUGCUUUUGCUGAUGGAAAACAGUGAUUUGACUUUAUUUCUUCAAGUGAAAAUGAAUGCUGACUGAGGCUGUCAUUCUGUCUAAAAUCUUGUUUUGUGUUCCAUGAAGAAAGUACUGUAUUACAGCUUUGGAAUGACAAGAGGAUCUGUCAUUUUUAACUGCACAGCUGCCAUGUCUGUUUGGCAGCUAACUCUGAUUGACGACUUGUAGUCUUGAACCCCUGCUGUGGAUUUCUAUUAUGAGUGUGUGUGUGUGUGUGUGUGUGUGUGUGUGUGUG